rnacentral:rRNA from 1 species
UACGGGGGGGGGGCAAGCGUUGUUCGGAAUUACUGGGCGUAAAGGGCUCGUAGGUGGCCAACUAAGUCAGACGUGAAAUCCCUCGGCUUAACCGGGGGAACUGCGUCUGAUACUGGAUGGCUUGAGUUCGGGAGAGGGAUGCGGAAUUCCAGGUGUAGCGGUGAAAUGCGUAGAUAUCUGGGAGGAACACCGGUGCGAAGGCGGCAUCCUGGACCGACACUGACGCUGAGGAGCGAAAGCCAGGGGAGCAAACGGG